UGAUUUUGUUUUCGUGUGACUCAAUCGUUUCGGAGUGGCGUUUUUCCUCGUAGCUGUUAAUAGACUAUUUAUCAUGAAAACCAUCGAUUGCAAAAGGAGAUACAAGGACUCAUUGACUAAAUUGCACAACGGAUGCUGCUUUUAUUAUAAGUGACAUGCAUCGUUUCUAAGGACUUCCAUUCAAAUUAAGGCAUAAUUGCAAGAUAUCCCUGUAUAAAUGAAAACCACCAAUGCAACGCUUAGGAAGACCCUAUAUUUUAGAGAUUAAAUGACAUUUUCGAAUUCUGAGCUGUGCAAAAAUCUAAGCUGAUUGAUGUAAAAUUACAUUUAAGCCAAAAUCAUCAACAUUGCAGCAUCGACCAAAGGUCUUUCAGAAUAUUUUCAUCACUAAAGGUCUUUCAGAAUAUUUCUCAAAGGGAUUUUUUUUUGCAUCUUAUAAACUGAUUUAGCCCUUUAAUGUUAUUACAUACAUUAACUUUACCAACUACAUCGUUUUGUUAUAUGUCACAUCUACAUAUUUCAAGAAAAGGUUUUGGACCCCUCAUCAAUAUUCACAAGCGCUUGUCAAUGUUUGGAGGUAAAACCCAUAUAUUAGUCCGUCUGUCCAAGGUAUGUGUCCUAUUAACCAUAUUGCGUCGUAAGCAAUCACCUGGGACACUGCGGGUUGCAAGUUCCUUCUGAAGAAUCCCACGCUGGUGCCGAGGAGGAUAACACUUUUAAAAAUAUAUUGUCUAACCACGCCAUUAUGUGUCUGCCUAUAAUAGAAACUAGACAUGUAUUUGGCGCAUUCGUACUUCUUCGUAUUACAUAUGUGAAAAAGAGGACACAACAAAACGCAGAAAUAGAUACUCACAAAUCCGUCCUCCUUCUUCCAUGUCCUCAAAUUUGUUUCGUUUGAAAUGUACUUAUUUCAUUUGUUCAUAUUUUUUCUGUUUUACACUAUUUUAGGAUAACACUUUUAAAAAUAUAUUGUCUAAUCACGCCAUUAUGUGUCUGCCUAUUUGCCUAUUUAUUUAUCUUGGAAAAAUUCAAUAAUUCAUAAAUUUUUCGGAAAAGCACUAAUUUAACAGGCAUCUAAAGUGCAAAUUUUUGCAAAUAAGAUGUCUGGCUUGUUACCAUUGGACAUGGACUUUGAUGUAGCGGAGGAGGAGACUUCAACAUCUCAAGACAUUUCAAAAGGUGAGAAAAUACAAACAACCUGAGCGCGCAAAUAAAUGCAACCAAGAGGCAGCAUAAGGAGAUUGCAGCGAAUCAAAGCGACAUUGAAAUCCCCGAUCUUCGGGAAAGAUUAAAGAGACAUAAGCACUUUGUUUUGAUAUCCAUAUUCAUAUCUAUUCAAUUCAUUGUAAAGCACGUAGGCAAGUAUCCAUAUCAUCGUGUAUUGGAACGAGACAAUAAUAGUUCCGAAUAUAAUUUUUUUUAUUGUUAUCGAUAAGUAGUACAUACAAAUGUAAUCGAAAAAGAAGAAGACUCAAAUAAACACACACUUAAUCACUUAA
rnacentral:sRNA from 1 species